GAUGAACGCUGGCGGCGUGCCUAAUACAUGCAAGUAGAACGCUGAAGGAGGAGCUUGCUCUUCUGGAUGAGUUGCGAACGGGUGAGUAACGCGUAGGUAACCUGCCUGGUAGCGGGGGAUAACUAUUGGAAACGAUAGCUAAUACCGCAUGACAACAGUUAUUGCAUGAUAACUGUUUAAAAGGGGCAACUGCUCCACUACCAGAUGGACCUGCGUUGUAUUAGCUAGUUGGUGAGGUAACGGCUCACCAAGGCGACGAUACAUAGCCGACCUGAGAGGGUGAUCGGCCACAAUGGGACUGAGACACGGCCCAGACUCCUACGGGAGGCAGCAGUAGGGAAUCUUCGGCAAUGGACGGAAGUCUGACCGAGCAACGCCGCGUGAGUGAAGAAGGUUUUCGGAUCGUAAAGCUCUGUUGUAAGAGAAGAACGAGUGUGAGAGUGGAAAGUUCACACUGUGACGGUAUCUUACCAGAAAGGGACGGCUAACUACGUG
rnacentral:rRNA from 1 species